rnacentral:lncRNA from 1 species
AGAAAAGGAAGUGGAAGAAUUCGAAGUGUUCUAAUUUGAGAGGAGGUUAUAGUACCAUAUUAUUAAGUUCAAACUGCUUCUUGCCUCAAAUCAAGAAGAAAACCACUCUCUUUUUGACUAAAGCCAGGUACUAUGUGUGAUCUGUGGCUCUUCUGAACUUCUGGCUUUGGCUGUUUGGAAAAUAUUGGGUCUUUUUGAAUCCAGCUAUGUGCUAAACAGAGGGCUCUGUGGACAAUCAAGUGGCAAGAUGCACAACCCAGUGUUUGUAGUGAAAGCAUAUACCAGACAAAACAUCAGCUUUCCUGACUUCUGGAAUUAACCUCUAAUU